AAUAAUAUCUGGCACUUGACUUGGUUUCUCUAGCUUUUGCAACAUCUCCUAUGGCUGUUUUGGUGAUAGCAGUUUGAAAAACUAAAUUGCUAUAUAUCUGGAAUUUAUGAAUGCACAUAAAUCAUUAUAUCAUUAAACAAUUGUCUUUGAAAUCCUUUAAAUCAUUAAACUCCCCCUCUCCAUGAUAGCAGAAACAUGUUAACAAAUAGAGCUCUCUAUAAAUAACACAGCAGGGAAGAAAGCUCCCGCUGGGCACCCAUUUCCCCCUUCUUACAUAGAGACUAUUUGUUACCUUCUUGGCACCGGCAGGUCUGGAACUCCUGCUGCUAAAGACUAAUGUAUUUUACAUUAACACUCAAAGUGAUCCCCAAUUUCUUCUGCUCAAGGGUGGAUUGUUUUUAAAAUUCUUUUAUCUUUACAUGUAAAUUAUUUAUAGACUUUUUUUUUUUCCAUUUCUAGUUUGGUGUGGUUGGCAAAUCUCUACCACUAAAAACAAGCUCACCACUCC
rnacentral:lncRNA from 1 species